rnacentral:rRNA from 1 species
GAUGAACGCUGGCGGCGUGCCUAAUACAUGCAAGUCGAGCGAACGGACGAGAAGCUUGCUUCUCUGAUGUUAGCGGCGGACGGGUGAGUAACACGUGGAUAACCUACCUAUAAGACUGGGAUAACUUCGGGAAACCGGAGCUAAUACCGGAUAAUAUUUUGAACCGCAUGGUUCAAAAGUGAAAGACGGUCUUGCUGUCACUUAUAGAUGGAUCCGCGCUGCAUUAGCUAGUUGGUAAGGUAACGGCUUACCAAGGCAACGAUGCAUAGCCGAACUGAGAGGGUGAUCGGCCACACGGGAACUGAGACACGGUCCAGACUCCUACGGGAGGCAGCAGUAGGGAAUCUUCCGCAAUGGGCGAAAGCCUGACGGAGCAACGCCGCGUGAGUGAUGAAGGUCUUCGGAUCGUAAAACUCUGUUAUUAGGGAAGAACAUAUGUGUAAGUAACUGUGCACAUCUUGACGGUACCUAAUCAGAAAGCCACGGCUAACUACGUG